rnacentral:rRNA from 1 species
GGAAUAUUCCCAAAUGGCGGCAAGCUGGAUGCAGCCAUGCCGCGUUUUGAAGAAGGCUUUCGGGUUGUAAAGUACUUUCAGCAGUGAGGAAGGUGGGUAUGUUAAUAGCAUAUUCAUUUGACGUUAGCUGCAGAAGAAGCACCGGCUAAUUCCGUGCCAGCAGCCGCGGUAAUACGGAGGGUGCGAGCGUUAAUCGGAAUUACUGGGCGUAAAGCGCAUGCAGGUGGUUUGUUAAGUCAGAUGUGAAAGCCCGGGGCUCAACCUCGGAAUUGCAUUUGAAACUGGCAAACUAGAGUACUGUAGAGGGGGGUAGAAUUUCAGGUGUAGCGGUGAAAUGCGUAGAGAUCUGAAGGAAUACCGGUGGCGAAGGCGGCCCCCUGGACAGAUACUGACACUCAGAUGCGAAAGCGUGGGGAGCAAACAGGAUUAGAUACCCUGGUAGUCCACGCCGUAAACGAUGUCUACUUGGAGGUUGUGGCCUUGAGCCGUGGCUUUCGGAGCUAACGCGUUAAGUAGACCGCCUGGGGAGUACGGUCGCAAGAUUAAAACUCAAAUGAAUUGACGGGGGCCCGCACAAGCGGUGGAGCAUGUGGUUUAAUUCGAUGCAACGCGAAGAACCUUACCUACUCUUGACAUCUACAGAAGCCAGCGGAGACGCAGGUGUGCCUUCGGGAACUGUAAGACAGGUGCUGCAUGGCUGUCGUCAGCUCGUGUUGUGAAAUGUUGGGUUAAGUCCCGCAACGAGCGCAACCCUUAUCCUUGUUUGCCAGCACUUCGGGUGGGAACUCCAGGGAGACUGCCGGUGAUAAACCGGAGGAAGGUGGGGACGACGUCAAGUCAUCAUGGCCCUUACGAGUAGGGCUACACACGUGCUACAAUGGCGCAUACAGAGGGCGGCCAACUUGCGAAAGUGAGCGAAUCCCAAAAAGUGCGUCGUAGUCCGGAUUGGAGUCUGCAACUCGACUCCAUGAAGUCGGAAUCGCUAGUAAUCGUGGAUCAGAAUGCCACGGUGAAUACGUUCCCGGGCCUUGUACACACCGCCCGUCACACCAUGGGAGUGGGCUGCAAAAGAAGUGGGUAGUUUAACCUUCGGGAGGACGCUCACCACUUUGUGGUUCAUGACUGGGGUGAAGUCGUAACAAGGUAACCG